UUUCCCUAACGGUCACCCGAUCAAUCCCUCUUUUUCCCCUCCCCUAAGACUCGCUCUCUCUCUCUUCCUCACCGCAUCCGUACGACCUCUGUCGUUCCGCAAGUGCGCACGCGACGCCAUCCGAUCGUCGCCGUCAUCCGUAGCCGCCUCCGCCGCAAUCCUCUUUGGCCGUUAUUUUUGGUUCACUAUCGACGACAUCCUGCCGUCAUCUUCACCAUUUUCGAGAAGAUUCCGACGAUUGAUCUCGUGCAAUUUUCGAUUGGAUAGCUUCUUAACUUAGAAGCCGCUUUUGAGGUAAGCGAUCGGACACCCGUUAGUUUUUUGUAAGAUAAUUUAGGAAAAUAUUUCGAUUGUAUGAAAAUCUUAUUUUGUAGAUUUUAAAAUUAAGGGUUAAGCAUAUUAUUAAAUAUUUCUGUAAAUUGAGCUUCAACUGUGAUUGACAAGUUCUUUUAGCAAAAUGAAUUUUUGAAACUUGAUAAUCUGUUCUGUAAAUUAGUGACUGGAUAACUUUUGAAGUAUGAUGUCUCUUGGUAUUCUGCUAUACUAA